GUGGGGAAUCUUCCGCAAUGGACGAAAGUCUGACGGAGCGACGCCGCGUGAGUGAAGAAGGCCUUCGGGUCGUAAAGCUCUGUCAUCGGGGACGAAUGGUCGAUGGAGUGGAAAGCCAUUGAAAUGACGGUACCCGAGAAGGAAGCCACGGCUAACUACGUGCCAGCAGCCGCGGUAAUACGUAGGUGGCAAGCGUUGUCCGGAAUUAUUGGGCGUAAAGCGCGCGCAGGUGGGAUCUUAAGUCUAUUUUGAAAGUUCGGAGCUUAACUCCGUGAUGGGAUAGAAACUGGGAUUCUUGAGUACCGGAGAGGAAAGCGGAAUUCCCCGUGUAGCGGUGAAAUGCGUAGAUAUGGGGAGGAACACCAGUGGCGAAGGCGGCUUCCUGGCACAAUACUGACGCUCAUGUGCGAAAGCUAGGGCAGCGAACGGGAUUAGAAACCCCGGUAGUCC
rnacentral:rRNA from 1 species